rnacentral:rRNA from 1 species
GAUGAACGCUGGCGGCGUGCCUAAUACAUGCAAGUCGAGCGAACAGAUGAGGAGCUUGCUCCUCUGACGUUAGCGGCGGACGGGUGAGUAACACGUGGAUAACCUACCUAUAAGACUGGGAUAACUUCGGGAAACCGGAGCUAAUACCGGAUAAUAUAUUGAACCGCAUGGUUCAAUAGUGAAAGACGGUUUUGCUGUCACUUAUAGAUGGAUCCGCGCCGCAUUAGCUAGUUGGUAAGGUAACGGCUUACCAAGGCAACGAUGCGUAGCCGACCUGAGAGGGUGAUCGGCCACACUGGAACUGAGACACGGUCCAGACUCCUACGGGAGGCUGCAGUAGGGAAUCUUCCGCAAUGGGCGAAAGCCUGACGGAGCAACGCCGCGUGAGUGAUGAAGGUCUUCGGAUCGUAAAACUCUGUUAUUAGGGAAGAACAAAUGUGUAAGUAACUAUGCACGUCUUGACGGUACCUAAUCAGAAAGCCACGGCUAACUAUGUG